rnacentral:rRNA from 1 species
CAGUCGCCGCGGUAAUACGAAGGGGGCUAGCGUUGCUCGGAAUGACUGGGCGUAAAGGGCGCGUAGGCGGCGAUCAAAGUCAGGCGUGAAAUUCCUGGGCUCAACCUGGGGGCUGCGCUUGAUACUUGGUUGCUUGAGUGGGGAAGGGGGUCGUGGAAUUCCCAGUGUAGAGGUGAAAUUCGUAGAUAUUGGGAAGAACACCGGUGGCGAAGGCGGCGACCUGGUCCUUGACUGACGCUGAGGCGCGAAAGCGUGGGGAGCAAACAGGAUUAGAUACCCGGGUAGUCCCUGUCUCUUAUAA